GCUCAUUUCUAGGAACUCCCUUGGUAAGGGAGAGGUCGAGAGUUCGAAUCUCUCUGGCAGCA
rnacentral:tRNA from 1 species